rnacentral:rRNA from 1 species
UACGUAGGGUGCGAGCGUUGUCCGGAAUUACUGGGCGUAAAGAGCUCGUAGGCGGUCUGUCGCGUCGAUCGUGAAAACUUGGGGCUUAACCCUGAGCUGCGGUCGAUACGGGCAUGACUGGAGUUCGGCAGGGGAGACUGGAAUUCCUGGUGUAGCGGUGAAAUGCGCAGAUAUCAGGAGGAACACCGGUGGCGAAGGCGGGUCUCUGGGCCGAUACUGACGCUGAUGCGCGAAAGCCAGGGGAGCGAACGGG